rnacentral:misc_RNA from 1 species
GGGAAAAAUCCCACUUUCAUUACGUUCAGCAGUGGCAACGCCAGCAAUAACCAAGAAGAAAUCACUAAUUCACGCAGUGCCUCCAUCUCCAUCUGAGAAAUCUCAUUGCUUCACCAAGAAAAAACCAUCCCAAAUUCCCCAGAAAGCCAAUGUUCUAGCCUCCACUGGAACCCAACAACAAAGGCCCCUCUUCAAGUCUCCGGAACUCGAUGACGCCAAGAAACUCUUCAAUUCAUUCAUUUCCACCUCCCGGGUUCCUCUCGAUCUCCGCUUCCACAAUUCUUUUCUCCAAUCCUACGCCUCAAUUUCCACCAUUGAUAACUCCAUCUCUCUCCUCAACCACAUGGUCAAAACUCUCCCUUCCUUCAUCCCUGACCGAUCCACUUACCAUAUUUUGCUCUCCCAGUCCUGCAGAACAACUGCUCCCUCCCUUUCCCCUGUUCACCAGACUCUCAAUCUUAUGGUCAAUAAUGGGUUUAAGCCCAAUCAAGUUACUGUUGAUAUUGCAGCACGCUCUCUGUGCUCUGUUGGUCGAGAAGAUGACGCUGUUGAAUUGGUAAAAGAAUUAUCCUUAAAGCACUCCAAGCCUGAUACUUUCACCUAUAAUUUUCUUGUUAAGUGCUUGUGCAAGUGUAGGGCAUUGAGUAAUGUUUAUAAUUUUAUCGAUGAAAUGAGGUCUUCAUUUGAUAUAACGCCUGAUCUUGUUACUUAUACUAUUUUAAUUGAUAAUGUUUGUAAUUCUAAAAAUCUCCGUGAGGCUACAAGAUUGGUCGGUGUAUUAAAAGAGUGUGGAUUUAAGCCCGAUUGCUUUGUCUAUAAUACAAUUAUGAAGGGUUACUGUAUGUUGAGUAGAGGAAGUGAGGCCAUUGAGGUUUAUAACAAAAUGAAGGAAGAAGGAGUGGAGCCUGAUCUUGUUACAUAUAAUACUUUGAUUUUUGGGUUAUCAAAAUCUGGAAGAGUGAGUGAAGCUAGAAAGUACCUGAAAAUCAUGGUUGAAUCAGGUCAUUUUCCUGAUGCAGUUACUUACACUUCGUUGAUGAAUGGGAUGUGUAGAAAAGGGAAUGCAUUGGGUGCAUUGGCAUUGCUAGCGGAGAUGAAAGAAAAAGGCUGCAGUCCAAACUCGUGCACUUAUAAUACAUUGCUUCAUGGGUUAUGCAAGGGGAGAUUGUUGGAUAAAGGCAUCAAGUUGUAUCUAGUGAUGAAGGAAGGUGACAUGAAGCUUGAGACAGCUUCAUAUGCUACAUUUGUAAGGGCCCUUUGCAGGGAAGGUAAGGUUGCAGAGGCUUAUGAGGUGUUUGAUUAUGCAGUAGAGAGUAAGAGUUUAACUGACAUUGCUGCUUACUUGACAUUGGAGAGUACGCUGAAGUGGCUGAAGAAAGCCAGAGAGCAAGGCCUAGCUGUUUAACUGGUAUUUUCUUCAUUACAUUAUUAAUUCUCUUUGCUUACAGUUAAAAUUUUCUUAUCUUGGGAAAUUGGCUAGUUAACCAUAAAUAUUUUGAAGUUGAGGCUGUGCUGCUCAAGCUUGUCAGUCAAAAAAUAUAUACGCUCCAUUUGAAACAAUUCUUAUGUUAGAAUUUAAAACAAUCCCAAUAAUUAUAUGAUAGAAUUUACAUGUUUGAAAUAAAUUUUAAUGUAAUAGAGUUCAUUUGAAUUCCAAUUUUUGGAACAAUUGUUAGUUUUCCAAUAGAAUUGAACUGAAUUGAGUUCUUGCUUUUUGUUUCUUGAGAUGUCCAAAUGCGUUGUUAAGCACCUGCUCAUCAACCUUGAAAAUUAAGAAUGACUGAGAUAGAUAAUAUGGUUUAUUAAUUUAUCGUAUGUUGAUAUCUAGGGGAAUAUAAUUGUUGGAAAUGAUUUAAUUUUAUACCACAUUAGUUAAUUUAAAAUUUUGCCAGUCAGUAGGGAAAUAACAAGUAUAUCAGUAGUAAAUGAAUAGAUCAAGUGCUAGAGCACUGCUUGAAGGUUGGCACUUUUGUUUCCAUAAAUCCUUGUCACUUAAAAUUUUCUUAAUCAAUGUUUAGAUGAUUUUUAUUACUUGCAGCUUGACUGCCUAUUCAUGAAUUAUGAUAGUCAAUAGUCUACACUUAUAGUCUGAUUCAUAAAGGAAUUUUUGCGCUGAUCAUCCUAGUUCCUUCAAGUUUUGCUUAGUGCUUGUCUAUCAAUUUUUUUACUCCUAAAAGGGCAAGGAUGCUGUGUCUCUUGUCCAGUGAAACCAUUUGGUCUCAUAUGAACUGUUUCUUCUUUUGUAUGUUUAGGUGUAUAGGGCACUUCUGUAUGUUUUUCAUUUUUGGGUGUCUCUGUUCUCUUAGUUUCCUUCUUUCCUAUUUAUUUUUUUUGUCCUUCCUUUUUCUUUUGUACUUACAUCCUUUCAUCCUUUCUGUUUUGUCUCUUUGUGUGUGUUUUCUUCCUGGGUUUGUAGGCCUGAUGAUACUCCUGGGGAUGGAGUUUACUAUCAUCAGCUCUCCUGAGAUAUAGGUUUGGAAGGUUCUUGGUUUGAGUUGUUGACAACCUUUCAUUGUUCAGAAAAAGAGUAAUGGAUGGCUUUACACUUGGAUGUUCUUCCUAAACAAUAUAAGCAUAUAAUACAAACUCUCCUUGUCGAAACUGCUGUGGCUAAGGAUAUGAACUUAUUUAUGAUACUCCUUGAAGCUGUCAAGGCAUAUGAACUUUUGCUUGGUGUGUAGAGGGAGAUAUUCAGCUGCCUCUCAUCGAAGACUGUACAAGCUGCCAGUUGCGACUGCAAGUUGGGUAAUUGUCCCUUAAUGAAGGAAUUUUAAUACUAAGUUACAUUGAAGUCAUCUGCAUAGUGCAUCACCAAGUUAGUGCUAUCUUUUCUUUGUUGUUGAUUGGCUGAUGUGAAAUCACCCGAUGCACCAUCUAGUUUUGGUAGAAAUAGAUUUUUCCUUGGAAUACAAAACUUGUUCCCUUCCCAUAUUCGUUUGUUAUCCUUCUGUCCCAAGAAAUGAUACAUCAGACCAGAAAUUGUAACAGAGCAUGACUAUAUAAUGAAAUAAAAAUGUAAUAAAGCAAUUAUUCUAUUGCAUUUCAAAGCAACACAUUUACGCCCAAUGUAGCAUGGGUAAUGCAUAAAUCUAGUAUGAUAAUGGUAGGAAGAGUUGAUGUAAGAUCUAACGUUUCAAGGGUUUAUUCGUCUACACCAAAGCUUAUGCCAGGAACCGUCAAGCUAAAUACGCUUUGAGAACAUUGAUAUCUUCUGCGGUUCUACCUCAACUAGUUAACGUUCCUACUUUUUGUUCUGGGAGAGCUGGAUAAUUUAUGUGAAAAAUUAAGAACUAGUUAUCUGAGGCUAGCUUAAUUGGUUUUCUUGCAAGUUGUUGGUGGGGAAUUUCGACAUAAGUCCUUACCUAAUGUCUCUAAAGAAGAGGCAGCAGCAGCAGCAGCUACUUUUGUGACAAUGACACUUUGUUUUAGGCCAGUGUGCCUCCGACAGAGGUUCCAUGGC